rnacentral:rRNA from 1 species
GAUAAACGCUAGCGACAGGCCUAACACAUGCAAGUCGAGGGGCAGCACAUGAGUAGCAAUACGAUGGUGGCGACCGGCGCACGGGUGAGUAACACGUAUGCAACCUACCCAUAAGAGGGGAAUAACCCGGAGAAAUUCGGACUAACACCGCAUAAUACUGAAUAUUCGCAUGGAUUUUCAGUUAAAUAUUAAUAGCUUAUGGAUGGGCAUGCGUAUGAUUAGAUAGUUGGUAGGGUAACGGCCUACCAAGUCAACGAUCAUUAGGGGUUCUGAGAGGAAGGUCCCCCACAUUGGAACUGAGACACGGUCCAAACUCCUACGGGAGGCAGCAGUGAGGAAUAUUGGUCAAUGGGGCGAGAGCCUGAACCAGCCAUGUCGCGUGAAGGAAGAAUGUCCUAUGGAUUGUAAACUUCUUUUAUACAGGAAUAAAGUGUACUACGUGUAGUAUUUUGUAUGUACUGUAUGAAUAAGGAUCGGCUAACUCCGUGCCAGC